AUACGGAGGGUCCAAGCGUUAUCCGGAAUCAUUGGGUUUAAAGGGUCCGCAGGCGGUCAAUUAAGUCAGAGGUGAAAGCCAUCGCUCAACGAUGGAACUGCCUUUGAUACUGGUUGACUUGAGUUAUACGGAAGUAGAUAGAAUAAGUAGUGUAGCGGUGAAAUGCAUAGAUAUUACUUAGAAUACCGAUUGCGAAGGCAGUCUACUACGUAUAUACUGACGCUGAGGGACGAAAGCGUGGGGAGCGAACAGGAUUAGAAACCCUAGUAGUCC
rnacentral:rRNA from 1 species